rnacentral:rRNA from 1 species
AACGAACGCUGGCGGCAUGCCUAACACAUGCAAGUCGAACGAGACCUUCGGGCUUAGUGGCGCACGCGUGCGUAACGCGUGGGAACCUGCCCUUAGGUUCGGAAUAACUCCCCGAAUGGGGUGCUAAUACCGGAUAAUGUCUUCGGACCAAAGAUUUAUCGCCUUUGGAUGGGCCCGCGUUGGAUUAGCUAGUUGGUAGGGUAAAAGCCUACCAAGGCGACGAUCCAUAGCUGGUCUGUGAGGAUGAUCAGCCACACUGGGACUGAGACACGGCCCAGAAUCCUACGGGAGGGAGCAGUGGGGGAUAUAGGACAGUGGGCGGAAGCCUGAUCCAGCAAUGCCGCGUGAGUGAUGAAGGCCUUAGGGUUGUAAAGCUCUUUUACCCGGGAUGAUAAUGACAGUACCGGGAGAAUAAGCUCCGGCUAACUCCGUG